GGAAGUAAAAGUUGUAACAAGGUUUCCGUAGGUGAACCUGCGGAAGGAUCAUUAUUGAAUGAAACACUUCUGGCUUUAUGCUGUUGUGCUGGCCCUUUGGGCAAUGUGCACACGGCUCUGGUCACUUGUUUCUUCUGUUCCACCUGUGCACUGCCUGUAGACACGCUGUGUCUAUGAUAUUUGUUAACACACAACAAUGUUAGUUGGCAUGUUAUACAUAAUAACAAAAUAUACAACUUUCAACAACGGAUCUCUUGGCUCUC
rnacentral:misc_RNA from 1 species